rnacentral:lncRNA from 1 species
GCAGCAGCAGCAACAGCAGCAGCAGCAGCAGCAGCAGCAGCAGCAGCAGCAGCAACAGCAACAGCAACAGCAGCAGAUUCCUCACACGAUACAGGGUCCUCGUGCGAACAUACAAGCGUCACUUCUCGGCUCACAGUCUGUGCAAAGCGGUGCUUCGGCAUUCCACCAACAGAGUGCGCCGCUGACCAAUCAGGGCCCUCAAUCCCACAUUCAGGUGCAUUACUCGCACAACCAACAGCAGCCGCAGCAGCAGCCAAUGAGAGCAGAGCAGAGGAGCAACCCUGUGUCACAUGACCAACGGACAUAUCAGAGAAGCUUUACAGAUAGUGUUUUGUACUCGCAGUCGCGUAAUCAGUAGAUAGAUCUCACUCGAGCUGCUUCGUAACAACAUGGUGGAUUGCAUGCUGAAUCCUACUGAUGGUGAAACCUCUAAUAGUAGCGACUCGUUAUACACUGAUUUACUGUCUCUGUCGUAGAUGUGCACAGUCAGCUCUUGCCACACUUGAUGCUUGCAUGAAUUUGCGGGCAUCUUGGCAAAGUGCAAAAAACUACCCUGACCUUAAUGUAAAAAUUAUUUGUUUUUUAUAUCAACUGUUAAAGGAAAAUUAUGUUGUCACUACCCAAAUAAAUUAUAGAUGUUGUUAAACUAGGCUAUGGUAUAGACGACUAUCUGCUGAUCUAGACAGUACAAAACAACUUGUGUUCAUGUAGCUUGAAUUAAUCUACAUGAAAUCGGCUCUACGCGUAUAUCGAAAAGUGACCUUUUUAUGCGAUAGGUGGCGCGACGUGUACCUUAUAGCCAUAGAAAUAAUAUACUUGUUAUAUUCGUGUCUGUAAUUAUUUCUAUGAGUAUAACAGGUCUGUUGCCGUGUACGUACUCCUUACCGCCGUCGCAAGCAUGUUGGGAGGAAAACUAUUUCGGUUGUUAAUUUGAAAUAAACGUAGGGCAGUGGAGAAAUUUGCAAUGAUUCCGUGCGCAGAAAGAAGUGCACGGAAAUUUUUUUUCAUGGUACAAUCGAUCGGAGCUGCCUCGAAGUUUUUGUUGCUGUCCGGCUAUAACAGGCCAUAAAUACGUUAGCAUUCUGAAUCUGAGGUCACGUGAACCCCGCUGAUCACCUGUAAUAAAUAUUGUAGUUGAUUUAUUGUAAAGGUGGCAUGUACAUUCUACCUUCAUGCUGUCGUUCACUAUUUUAGUUACAUUACUGCAAUUGUAAUUAUUGUAUUGUUGAUUUUAUUUGUACACGGCUUUAGUGUGUUGUUGGGUUCAAACUAGGUAGGGCCUAGUUGUUUAGCCAUAAUUAUUAUUUUGCCAUAUUUACUAGUUUCUAAUUUUUUGAUGGGCGUCACUACAAAUCGCCUGGUCUCAUUGCAGCUAAGAAAAUUUUUAAUCAGUACACGAACUCGAAAGACAUUAACAUAUGUCCAUGGCCAACUGUUAAGAUGGAUUUAAUUUUAGUGCCCUGUAUGUCCUAGUUGAGUAUAUAGCCUAGUAUUUGAGAAUAAUGUCAUGAUUUUUAUAAAUAAAAUGGAUUGGUCGAAUAAUCUUUAUUUUUGCCAUAAAACAAAUCCUCUAAAAAUAUUAUUACAGUGAUUGGUAAUAUUGUGAACUAUAUCUGUUCGUAUCUCUAUAUUAUGUCCAACAUAGGUUGCAGUUUUAUUUCUUUAGAAAAAAAUUUAACUAGUUAUUUCAUUCCAAUUUUUUAUGGUAAUCAGUUUUGCUCACGUGCUAUGGUUGGUUUAAAUAUAGAAAUGUGCCUUUUGGCAUGAGGUUUAUUGUAUAAUACAAUAAAAACUUAUAGUUCUUGCCAAUCAAACCCAAAUCCGAAUAUACUGUGUUUGUAAGGGUUGGGUGCAAGUUGAGCAAGUAACAUUGUUCAGGCAAAUCCUACGAUUUUCAUUGAAAUAAAACGUUUUACUAAAUUUGUAUGUUUAAAUGUA